GCGAUCCCGCUCGACCGUCCCCAGGCCUUGCAAUCCAUCCAUUAGAAACAAAACAACAACAACAAAAAUCCAUCCGCUAACCAACAUUUCUGCACAGGCUGCUUUCCCUGGUGAUGAGAAAUUAAGUCCACGCGGAUGUCCCCAUCGCCGGAUAGUUAAGGUGGCCGAAACCCAGAGUGCCAACCGUUCUCACGGCCUACGCCACGUUUGCGGCGGGCUUGCCACAUGUCGUGCGUGGUGCCUCUUCGGGUCAGCCCAGACCCAUAAGGAGUGGGGAGUACUACGGUUUCCAGAUGGAAAAGUGGAGGCUCUGAGAAGCAAGGUAGCUUGCCUAGGACCCCAGGGACAGCCGGCGGUGGCCCUGUGAUGCUGCCUGACUCCACAGCACCCCAGGCCCCCCCCCCAUUUUAAACAAACGGCUGAGAAUCGCAGACCAUUUGGCAGGAAAGACCCCCAGGGAGGCCAUAACCUGCUGAUUGAGGAGGACUGGGGCUCAGACAAGGGGAGGAGCUUGCUCAGGGACACAGCAAGACCACGCCCCCGGGUUGGGGUGUUCUUGGGUCCACCCCACUGCCAACCAGCCAGAGGGAGCCAGUGAGCUUGUGCCCUCUUCCAAUGCCACCACUCAGCGGCGUUCACCCUUGUAUGUGCACCGGGUGGAGGUGGGGGGUGCGUUGCAUGGUACAGAUUCCUGGCACCCCCCUCCGAGGUCGGGACAAGAGCCCAGGAAUUGGCAUGUUAUGAAGCACUGUCAUUGAAGAGGACAAUCUGGUGGCCCUGGGCCCCACCCCCAGAGCCCGUAGCUCACACCCCUCCAGAAGGGUGUUCCCAGCGGGGCCUGGGGCAGGAGGUCUUGAGAGGCCCCAGGGAGGCCCCCCUCCCCCUCCAGAUGCGGUCCAGGGAAUAGCGUUUGGAAUCCCAGGGAACUCCGGCACAGCCGGGCUUUGGCCAAAAGCAUCACUAAUCACCUGGACAGCGACGGCCAGUCCAUGCAGUCCUCCCGGCAGCUGUCGGCGGAUCUCAGUGCUGCCCCACGGCUUGGAUGGGGAAAUGGAGGCCGCCCACAGGAAGUGGCCUGGCGGGCCAGGGCCAAGACCACACCCAGCGAUCCCCAGGCCAGGGACCCUCCCCAGCCCAGCAGGUCUUCCCUACCUUGGCUCCACUGGACACAAUCUUCGAAAGCGUCAGGCCAGUGAACGGUCUGAUUUUGCCAGAGGCCCGAGACCCGGACCCAGGCAGACCCUGGUCACACUGAGCCUUAAAAGGAAGCACGGCGAUCCCUUCAAAGCCGAGCCCUAGAGCGCAAACCUUCUGGGUCCUCCUCUCGGCUCAGAUGCUAAGACCUUAAUCUCCAGGCCUCGGAUUUGGCCUGGUGGCCGGGCUCCCCAGUCCUCGGGCGAUGCGUGUUUCUGGCACCUGCGUGUGCGCGGGUCACCAUCCAGUUUCAGAUGAGAAAGCACCUCCUGUGGGAAGCCCUCCCGUCUCCUGAUGCCAGAUGCUGCCCCGUGGUGGCUUCGGCUACGGUUCUUACGUCGGUGGGAAGGGAGCACACCGAAGCUGUCCAGUGCCACAAGCCCACGGGGUUUGCUGCUUGCUGUAUCUUCAGUGAAGGUUGUGUGCCAUGCACACCGUAGGUGCUCAAGGAACCUCUGCAGGAUGAGCCCUGGGAGCCCCUGAAAAUGGGCAUUCCCUCCACUGUUGGCUCCAGGGGGACACACCCAGGAGGAUGCUGGCACCUGCAGGGUUCCUCUCGGAGGAUCCUUGGUUUUUGCAGAUGAAUGAGUGGGAGGCAUCUUGGCUCUUGACAGAGCCACCAGCCUGUGGGGCCUCAGUUAGCCUUUCUGUGAAAUGGGCGUCAUGAACGCAGCCUUUCCUACUGAAUUCUUAGGUUUUCCUCCUGGGUGUCUCCUUCAAUCACGAAUGGUUUUUAACAUUCACACUGCUUCUGACACCAGAUGUGUGGGUUCUCCCCCCACAUCCCACAAUUCUGUGACACCAGCUGGACGUCCUACAAUUCAACCUCAGUUCUGACACUGGCUGGGGGCAGCAUCAGAUCCCACAGGUUCAGGGCCCAGUCCCAUAAGACCUCCCUCCACCUCGGGUGCCAACGGCAAGUGGUAGGUGCAGAGGUUGCCCACGACUUCUUCUGACUUGGCUACAAACCAGAAGUUGCCAGGACCUUGUCCGCCUUGGAUUUGAUUCUUUACUAGAACAGCGCAGAGAACUCAGGGAAACACUUCUGUUUGCUGUAUUAAAGGCUCUGAUAAGGAUCCAGAUGAACAGCCAGGUGAAGAGGUAUAUGGGGUGAGGUCAGGGAGGGUCCCCGACACAGGAGCUUCUGUCCCUGUGGAGUUGG
rnacentral:lncRNA from 1 species